ensembl:snoRNA SNORD116 Small nucleolar RNA SNORD116
UGAUCGAUGAUGACUUCCGCAUAUACAUUCCUUGGAAAUCUGAACAAAAUGAGUGAAAAACUCCUACUGUCUCACUCAUCGACCUGAGGUUCA